rnacentral:tRNA from 1 species
GCGCUCAUAGAUCAGCUGGAUAGAGCACUUGGCUACGAACUAAGGGGUCGGGAGUUCGAAUCUCUCUGAGCGCACCA